AGUGCAGUUUCUACUGGCCUACAUAUAGAGGCUGAAUAUUGUUGAAUAGUUGGUAAACCACAAAGGAACAAAAUCCAAGCAUGCCAUAUAUUAUACAGGGACCUUAACAUUAUACUGCUUAUGGGGUUUUGGACAUGUAGCAUGUCCAUUCAUUAUUCAUUAGGAACAAUAUUGUUUCACAUUUUCUUUAGUCACCCUUCAAAACACCACCCUUUACACUAUGUUGUAUUGGGUAGAUCAGAACAGAAUGUGUUGACAUUGAAGUUUGUAAGUUGUUUGAUAUUGUUAUAACAAACUUUCAAGUUCGUAUCAAAGUUGGAUCUCAUGCCAUAUUUGUGUUCAGUUUAUCAGGAUAAUGAAGUUUGUUCCACUUAACACUCAAAAUAGCGAAUCUGUAAUAUUUUGAAUAUAUUAAUUAGGGAUCACUAAUACCUCUGGGGAUAUUGUUGAGAAGACUGAGAACACAAUUCCAUAAAACUAUCCCACAAAGUAUUCAAGAUCCCAGAGUGUGAUGCUGCACUGUGAUAACCACAAGCUCAACAGAAUGGGGCAAUUUAACCUAUCAAAGUUCAAGAGCCCAACCUGUGAUUGUGUUUAUCAGUGACAGUAGCAGUAGUCCAGAGUGCAAUAUGUUAUCGUUUUUGUCAUUGUAUAUUUUUUUUUAAUAUAGAUUGGAUUUGUGGAUACUAGGUUCUAUUUUUGUUGAUGCAAUGAAUGGAGGUGGUCCUUGUGUCUAGUUUGUCUAAAGAAGAAAUACUUCUUUUAGUGGCAUUUGGAAGCUGGUAUGAUGAAGAGCAACAAUUUUAGCGAUAGACAACCUCUUUAUUACAAAAGAUAAGUUGUCUUUCCAUAAAAAGUGUUCCUCUUAAAGAAGAAGGACAUAAAUUCUCAUAAUGUUUUAUUUAUUGUAAAGGGAAAAAGAGUUAUAUGUCCAAAGUUACAAGGAUGUAUUGUCCAGAGCACAUGUAACUGAAUGUUGUGGAGGGUGCCAUAUUGUGUUCCUAUCAAAACCCGAACCCAUGAAAAUUGGGAACAGUGUCCGGAAUGUCAAAGCGAAA